UACGUAGGGGGCAAGCGUUGUCCGGAUUUACUGGGCGUAAAGAGCGUGUAGGCGGCCAAGCAGGUCCGUUGUGAAAACUGGAGGCUUAACCUCCAGACGUCGACGGAAACCGCGUGGCUAGAGUCCGGAAGAGGAGAGUGGAAUUCCUGGUGUAGCGGUGAAAUGCGCAGAUAUCAGGAAGAACACCGAUGGCGAAGGCAGGUCUCUGGGCCAUAACUGACGCUGAGAAGCGAAAGCAUGGGGAGCGAACAGG
rnacentral:rRNA from 1 species